GUGUCAAGUUUCCCGGCUGACUCAACUGGUUGCCAAAUGGUGCGUGAGAUGUCACGGGACAUUAGCCGGUAGGCUACUCUGCACCGGGCUUUUACCCAAAGUGCCAAAAUCUGCCCCUUCUUUACGUUUAGGGUGUUCAUUCAAACUGGUUUCCAUGUUGGUUUUGAAGGCGCCACAAAAGUAAAGUCCUUGAUUAAUCACCUUUAUCUAAACUGUUAUUCAUUCACCUUUACAAACAUGCACGUCAGGCGGCAUCUGGCAGGUUCGCACAUUUUACUGGACGGUACUAAUAUCUGUACCUUGGCUGACAGAAAUAACCAACACGAAGCCAAACAGUUCCGAAACGGUAUUGUGGAAUAGGUGCGAGUCAGAGUCACUGGGUCAGGGCUGAGUGAGACGAAACUACAAUCUCAGAGACGUCUCAGGCAAACAGGCUUAACCUUACAGGAUCUGCUCACCUUUGUACAGAAUAACCUUUCGCACAGUUUGCGGAAUUAAAGACACACGGAGCAUGCGCAAAAUAUUUCGCCUUUUUUCCAUUUAGCGCACGCGACUUUCUUGCAGGCUUUUUUAGUCUUCACAAAUGUGGGUCGGGUCAGAGCAGAAAUGCACCACUUAUGGAGAUAUUAAAUUUUAGUGACAGUGCACUUGGAUCUUUAGAAUUAGCUGAAACGAAAGAAAACAUAAGUACACUUUUAAUUAGCAUCCUGCAAGUCAUCGUCGGACUCCUGGCUUCACAGAAGCAAAUGGGUAUUUCAGUCCCACUCCAUUUGCUGCUGUCAUCAGAUCCAGUAUCGUCGACCAGCUUGAUUUAUUUCAUACCAGAGCCUAUCUGGAUAGAUCCAGUUCCUUCUUGACCGUUACCAUGACCCCCCCUCCCUAAACCCUAAGAGGCCAUUCUUAGCCAAUCAAAAACAUUUAUUUCUUGAAUCUUAUUACGAUGCUAAACUUUCUUUUAGCUAUAAAAUGUUACCGAUACAGAGGCAUAGUAGACCCUGUGGUGGUGAAUUGUGGGAAAUGGGAGCGACUGUAAGGUAAGGUGUUUCUCACGUGGGGAGCAUGACACCGUCACAUGUAGGAAAGGGGAAAUGAGUACGAUCUAAUUGAGCUUCGGCUUUCUGCUAUAUUAAGGACUGGCUGUGUCUGAACUGUGGUCUCCAUGGCUGCCGCGAAACUAAUUAUCUACGGCAGUGUUUCACAACCGGGUCCUCAUGGACCCCUAGAUAGCCCAUAAUUUUGCUCCCUGUCAGAUAGUCCGCAUUUUUGCGGAGCAGGGAGGGAGCAAAAACAUGGACUGCCUCUUAUUAGCGGGUUAAAGUGACAAACUGGCACCUACUCAGUUCCCGGAGGUGUCCUGAUAUGCCUGAAGCGCGUAGGUAAUACAUUCAGUAACCUGCUUGAUUCAAGAUAAGUUCUGCGCUGUGGUGAUAAACAAGAGGUCUCGUUGCGAAAGUCCCAGAAACAGAAAAUGACACGUCAGGUUUUUCUCAGAUUCUACCCAAGAUCCUUUCUCCUCCCUUUGUUUUUGUGUAACAUUCCUGUUUUCAAUCAUUAAAAAGGGGCUGACAGAUCCAUCCAUCCAGAGUUGAAGGCGAAACAAACUUGUAAAACAAGGGGACCGUCUCCAAGCAACGGGUUACACUGCACAGCUUGGGGUUUCCUGUUGAACCAGUCAGAUAUCCGGACAUCGUACCUUCUAACAUUUUGCAAAUUUCAUGGUGUAGGCAUAGUCUAGCUUUUUCAGUCAUACCUAUUUCUGUGUUCUUAAAUAAUUGUGGUAUUAUAAUGUUAUGGCCUUAAUGCUAAGUACUUGAAAAUUUCGAAUAUACAGAGAACUGUAGAAUUUUAUUAAUGUGACUCAAUAGCAAAGAUCUGUUUGGAUGAAUAUCAGUCCUGUUUAAUGUUUCACGUUGAUGAUGUCAGAAGAUUAUGCUGGUGACUAGUCAGACCAGGUAGAACAGUAACUCACCCAUUCCAGGUUGGUUUGCCCAUCCUAGGAGUAAACUUAACUAGAUGGGUUGACAUCACCUCACUGCCCAUUUUCUUUACGAGGGCCCAGUGAGGCACAGAACAUCUCUACUGGCACUGCAAAUAGUGUAAAGGACAGAACCAGAUAAGCCGCUGUCUUUCCAAGAAUUCUGUGGACAUGUUUCUCCAGUGAACUGGACCAUCAGCACCUGUGAGGAUGAGCAGCGUCCAUUCAGCAAAGCCUUUUCACAGAGUCUAAGACAACAGACCAUGUUUGAUGACAGCCAGACAGGAGCCUCAAGAUAAAAGGGCAGGAACCAGAAGAUGCAAGGUGAAGAAUCUUGAAGGACUCAUCCUACCUUGUGGCAGCCUGAUUGCUCAGUAAUUGAAACCACUCCUGAAAGCCUAGCAGAGAGGCCGCCUCCCGUAAACACCAGUGCUGGGUGAGCACUUCUCUGCGUCCAAUCAUAGCUGAGGCAGCGCUACAGAGGUCCCCUCUAUCCCCUCCUCAGGGCGUGUUGCUAGGCAGGAAUAGCAGACACGGAAUGGCAGUCCUUAAGAAGUGAAAUGGAAAAUGCCAGCAAAGCAGUCAGCGGGGAAAAGAACGCGAUAACCUGUGAAACACCGUUUCGAGAUGUUCUGUCUCAGUAGAGCACUGUUUUGUCCUUAAACAUUACCAUUACUGUUUUUUUAUUAACAUCAAGCUAUUGAAUAUAACAACUUAAACUUACGACUCAGCCUGAGAAAACCCGAGUUGGUAUUUGUGCUGUAUUUACGCUGACGUUUCCUUUAUACCAGAAUACAUUUACAAAACACUUACGCUUUAGCAAUCAAAACAGGGAUACUGGCGGUAAUGAUUGUAAACAAAGAACGUUUACAAAUAUACACUGGACGAUUAAAUAAGUAACAGUUGAAUAAAGUGCUGUAAUGUCUAAAAACUGGAACAAUUUAGGCCACUAGUGCAAACCUGUAAUGUAAAAGAUGAGAGCUUUUUGUAUGAGGUCUUACAAAAAUCCGCGGUUGUGAGGAAGACAAGAUCUAAUCGCGAAAAUGUCUCAGUUUGGCACAAUAUGGAGACGUCGCUGUCUGUGUGAAAUUGCCAACCCCUGCGUCCUUCAGUUGUAUAACGGCAGUGGAUCGUACAAAGUUUACUGUGACUCGGAUAAAUACAGUUCAGUACGUCCAGCGACCGUGACCCGCGUAGCCUGGAAGAUGAAUGAGUUCUUUCCAUCCAAAAGGCGCCAGAGUUUCAUUUAAAGGAAAACAGCAUUAGCUGUACACGUCGACAAAUAAAUACUAUUCGGUUAAAUUGUA